rnacentral:rRNA from 1 species
CCUACGGGUGGCUGCAGUGAGGAAUAUUGGUCAAUGGGCGUAAGCCUGAACCAGCCAAGUCGCGUGAGGGAUGAAGGUUCUAUGGAUCGUAAACCUCUUUUAUAAGGGAAUAAAGCGAGGGACGUGUCCUAUAUUGUAAGUACCUGAUGAAUAAGGAUCGGCUAACUCCGUGCCAGCAGCCGCGGUAAUACGGAGGAUCCGAGCGUUAUCCGGAUUUAUUGGGUUUAAAGGGUGCGUAGGCGGCCUUUUAAGUCAGCGGUGAAAGUCGGUGGCUCAACCAUAGAAUUGCCGUUGAAACUGGGGGCCUUGAGUGUGUUUGAGGCAGGCGGAAUGCGUGGUGUAGCGGUGAAAUGCUUAGAUAUCACGCAGAACCCCGAUUGCGAAGGCAGCAUGCCAGGCCAUGACUGACGCUGAUGCACGAAAGCGUGGGGAUCAAACAGGAUUAGAUACCCCUGUAGUC